rnacentral:rRNA from 1 species
UCCUACGGGAGGCAGCAGUGGGGAAUAUUGCACAAUGGGCGCAAGCCUGAUGCAGCGACGCCGCGUGAGGGAUGGAGGCCUUCGGGUUGUAAACCUCUUUUAUCGGGGAGCAAGCGAGAGUGAGUUUACCCGUUGAAUAAGCACCGGCUAACUACGUGCCAGCAGCCGCGGUAAUACGUAGGGUGCAAGCGUUAUCCGGAAUUAUUGGGCGUAAAGGGCUCGUAGGCGGUUCGUCGCGUCCGGUGUGAAAGUCCAUCGCUUAACGGUGGAUCUGCGCCGGGUACGGGCGGGCUGGAGUGCGGUAGGGGAGACUGGAAUUCCCGGUGUAACGGUGGAAUGUGUAGAUAUCGGGAAGAACACCAAUGGCGAAGGCAGGUCUCUGGGCCGUUACUGACGCUGAGGAGCGAAAGCGUGGGGAGCGAACAGGAUUAGAUACCCUGGUAGUCCACGCCGUAAACGGUGGAUGCUGGAUGUGGGGCCCGUUCCACGGGUUCCGUGUCGGAGCUAACGCGUUAAGCAUCCCGCCUGGGGAGUACGGCCGCAAGGCUAAAACUCAAAGAAAUUGACGGGGGCCCGCACAAGCGGCGGAGCAUGCGGAUUAAUUCGAUGCAACGCGAAGAACCUUACCUGGGCUUGACAUGUUCCCGACAGCCGUAGAGAUAUGGCCUCCCUUCGGGGCGGGUUCACAGGUGGUGCAUGGUCGUCGUCAGCUCGUGUCGUGAGAUGUUGGGUUAAGUCCCGCAACGAGCGCAACCCUCGCCCUGUGUUGCCAGCACGUCAUGGUGGGAACUCACGGGGGACCGCCGGGGUCAACUCGGAGGAAGGUGGGGAUGACGUCAGAUCAUCAUGCCCCUUACGUCCAGGGCUUCACGCAUGCUACAAUGGCCGGUACAACGGGAUGCGACACGGCGACGUGGAGCGGAUCCCUGAAAACCGGUCUCAGUUCGGAUUGGAGUCUGCAACCCGACUCCAUGAAGGCGGAGUCGCUAGUAAUCGCGGAUCAGCAACGCCGCGGUGAAUGCGUUCCCGGGCCUUGUACACACCGCCCGUCAAGUCAUGAAAGUGGG